GACGAACGCUGGCGGCGUGCUUAACACAUGCGAGUCGAACGGAAAGGCCCUGCUUUUGUGGGGUGCUCGAGUGGCGAACGGGUGAGUAACACGUGAGUAACCUGCCCUUGACUUUGGGAUAACUUCAGGAAACUGGGGCUAAUACCGGAUAUGAGCACCUGCUGCAUGGUGGGGGUUGGAAAGUUUCGGAGGUUGGGGAUGGACUCGCGGCCUAUCAGCUUGUUGGUGGGGUAGUGGCUUACCAAGGCAUUGACGGGUAGCCGGACUGAGAGGGUGACAGGCCACAUUGGGACUGAGAUGCGGCCAAGACUCCUACGGGAGGCAGCAGUGGGGGAUAUUGCACGAUGGGCGGAAGCAUGAUGCAGCAACGCCGCGUGGGGGAUGACGGCCUUCGGGUUGUAACCCGCUUGCGCCUGUGACGAAGCGUGAGUGACGGUAAUGGGUAAAGAAGCACCGGCUAACUACGUG
rnacentral:rRNA from 1 species